GGGUGCUUGGAUCAAUCUGGUUCAAGCAUUUUGCAGACACCAGAAAGAGAAAAGCCCCGAUUACGUUAUUUAACAUUAAUCGAGGCCAAAUCAUACCCAACAAUUUGAUUUUGCCUCUAUCUUUAUCGGAGUGCAAGAGGAAA
rnacentral:antisense_RNA from 1 species